rnacentral:lncRNA from 1 species
UAACCUCAAUCUCAUGGUAAAGAACAUGAUAGCCACUGAUUUCUCACAAUAUGUACACAUAAACAUGCAUUUCUUACAUAAUUAUGAAUCAUACAUUCAUUUUCAACAUCCACAUUCAUUAUAUAACAAAAGCCCUAAAUUUCAGUGAACAAGGCAUAAGGAACUGCUACAACACAUACAUUUUCAUCACUCAUUUCAUAAGCAUAAAAUCCUUACAUCCUUGACUAUAAUGCAAUGGUGAUAGAUCCACUUACCUAAACUACAAUGGUACCCUCUUUAAUCCUCCUUUCACAACUAUCACCCACUCCAACAAUGGCUUCACUCCAAUACUCUUUCUCCAAACCUUGCCUUAGAGAGGGAGAAAAAAAGAAUGAGAUAAGGGAAGAGUGCGUGACAUGAGUGAGAGAGGGGCCUUAAGUACUCUUGAAGGUGGGGUGGCUGCCCAAGUGGCCCCAAAAGGCUUAAAAUCUGGAUAAGUAGCUUCAAAUCAGCAUGCACCCUACAAGUGGCACUUACAACACAUGCAUAUCAGAAACACAGGCGGCAACGACACAGCCGGUGAUAGUCCACUACACGCGCGACAUUAGCCCUUAUGCACGCGAUGUUCUUCUCACGACGUUACCUCUUACGCGCGGUGAUACCUCUUAUGCACGCGGCGUUCUUCACACAGCGUUACCUGUUGCACGCAGCAAUACCUCUUAUGUGUAGGGCGUUCUUCGCGCAGUGUUACCUCUUACGUGUGGCGAUACGACUUACGCGAACGACGUUCUUCGCGCGGCGUUACCUCUUAUGCUUGGCGUUCUUCGCGCGGCGUUACCUUUUGUGUGCGAUGAUACCUCUUACGCGUGGCAUUACCUCUUGAGCGCAGCGAUACCUCUUACGCCCGCGGCAUUCUUCGAUCGGCGUUACUUCUCGGAUUUCUUCACGUUGCGUUACCUCUCCUCACCCCUCUUUCUCAGCACACUCGUGCAUGAUUCCAUGACCGUGAAAACCUUGGUCCUUACAAUAACCUUGCGAUAAAAAAAAAUGGUUAGAUUAGUUAAAGGAGAGAAAGAGGUUGGAAGUAGGACGAAGUGAGGAAGACUGAACGAAAUAUAAGAUGAAACAAAAUGUUAUGAAAAGAAAACGCAACGAAAACAAAAGAGGGAAGAAAGGAGAGAGACAGAGAAGAUUAGAGAGAGAAAGAAACUUAGAGGGCUCACUAUUGGGUUUUUUGUUUGAGAGAGGGAGAACAGGGAGACGAUAGCAAAGGGCUGGGAAAAGGCAGGGAGAUCCGUAGGAAAGUUGGAGAGCCAUGAGAGAAGAGAAGUGGGACAGGAAGGAGGCAGAAAUUGUGGUGCAGUAGAGAGAAAGGGGCAAAGACAGGGCAACAGAGGUAGAGAGGGGCAGAUACAGGGCAGCAAGGGUAGAGAGGGGUUGAGACAGGGUAGCAGAGGUAGAGAGGGGCGGAGACAAGGCAGCAGAGACAGGGCAUCAGAGGUAGAGAGGGGCGGAGAUUGCUAGAGCAGGGCGACAGUGGAGGACAAAGGAAGUGCACGAGUGGUUGAUGGUUGUAGCUGCAAGGUGGCUAAGCAAGGUUGCAAAGAAGAGGGAUGGUGCGGUAGAAGAUAGGCGCAGGUGGUUUGCUGGUGAUGGUGGUGGAACUGCAGCUGGUGGUGGUUGUUGGUGGUGUUGCUGCAAUGGCAGGAAUGAGGCAGCUGCGGGAGUGGUGGUGGCGAUAGCUUGGAGCUGGUGGUAGCUGAGCGAGGGAGCAGUAGAAGGGAUGGCGAGGAAGAACGGAGGGAGAUAAAUUGACAGAGAAUGAGGCAGCGAGGUUGGAGGCGAAGAAGGCGUUAGGUGCUGAGUGGGACGGACAAGGGAGAGAGGUGGAGGUGGCUGUAGAUGAUUGUUAGCAGGGAGUUACAGAGGGAGCAGUCGUGGUCACUAUUGAGAGGGAGGAGAAGAGAGAAGAAGGAAGUAGCAGACAGCUGCUGCCAGGUGAGUGGGGACAGAGGUGGGUGCAGUCAAGGUGGAAAGAGAGACAGAGGUUGCUCGCCAGGAGGAAGGGUUGAGGUUCACGGUGAUGGGUGGUGUUCACUCACGGCGAUGGGGUUGUUACACACACGGCGUUAGGAGGUGGCUUGCACACGACGAUAGGUAAGAUGGAUGCACAUGGUGAUAGGUAGGAUGGGUGCUGGCCGGGAAAAAAGGUUGAGGCGCACGGUGAUGGGUAGCGUUCACUCAUGGCGAUGAGGUUGUUACACUCAUGCAGUGUUAAGUGGUGGCUUGCAUACGGCGAUAGGUAAGAUGGGUGCUCAGGGCAAUAAGUAAGAUGGGUGCUCACGGCGAUGGUGUGGAGAGAGGCACACGGCGAUGGGUAGAGGUUCAAGAGGGGCGAUAGCUUAUGUUCACGAGCGCGGUAAUGGGAUUAUAUUCACACGAC